AACAAACGCUGGCGGCGUGUCUUAAGCAUGCAAGUUGAGCGGCAAGGAGGAGAGAUCCUCCCUAGAGCGGCGGACUGGUGAGUAACGCGUGGGUAAUCUAUCUUAGGCAUGGGGAUAGUCACUAGAAAUAGUGGGUAAUACCGAAUAAGUUCCAUAAGGGGAGGACUUAUGGAAGAAAGGUGCUACGGCACUGGCCUUAAGGUGAGCUCGCGUCCCAUUAGCUAGUUGGUGAGGUAAAGGCCCACCAAGGCGAUGAUGGGUAGCCGGCCUGAGAGGGUGUACGGCCACACUGGGACUGAGAUACGGCCCAGACUCCUACGGGAGGCAGCAGCUAAGAAUAUUCCGCAAAUGGACGGAAGUCUGACGGAGCGACGCCGCGUGGAUGAAGAAGGCCGAAAGGUUGUAAAGUUCUUUUGCUAGGGGAGAAUAAGUGUGGGAGGGAAUGCCUGCACGAUGACAAGGACUAGACGAAUAAGUCCCGGCCAACUACGUGCCAGCAGCCGUAAC
rnacentral:rRNA from 1 species